rnacentral:ncRNA from 1 species
GGGGGUAUGGCGAAAUCGGUAGACGYUACGGACUUAAUUGAAUUGAGCCUUGGUAUGGAAACCCACUAAGUGCUAACUUUCAAAUUCAGAGAAACCCUGGAAUUAAUAAAAAGGGGCAAUCCUGAGCCAAAUCCUGUUUUCCGAAACCAAAGGUUCAGAAAGUGAAAAAGGGAUAGGUGCAGAGACUCGAUGGAAGUUGUUCUAACAAAUGGAGUUGGCUGCGUUAGUAAAGAAAUCUUUCCAUCGAAAAUUCCGAAAGGAUAAAACAAACGUAUACGUAUUCAAUACUAUAUCAAAUGAUUAAUGACGACUCGACUGAAUCCGUAUUUUUUAUAUGAAAACGGAAGAGUUGGUGUGAAUAGAUUCCACAUUGAAGAAAGAAUCGAAUAUUCAUUGAUUAAAUGAUUCACUCCAUAGUCUGAUAGAUCUUUUCAAGAAUUGAUUAAUCGGACGAGAAUAAAGAUAGAGUCCCGUUCUACAUGUCAAUGUCGGCAACAAUGAAAUUUAUAGUAAGAGGAAAAUCCGUCGACUUUAAAAAUCGUGAGGGUUCAAGUCCCUCUAUCCCCAA